rnacentral:rRNA from 1 species
AUUGAACGCUGGCGGCAUGCCUAACACAUGCAAGUCGAACGAGACCUUCGGGUCUAGUGGCGCACGGGUGCGUAACGCGUGGGAAUCUGCCCCUUGGUUCGGAAUAACAGCGAGAAAUUGCUGCUAAUACCGGAUAAUGACGUAAGUCCAAAGAUUUAUCGCCAAGGGAUGAGCCCGCGUAGGAUUAGCUAGUUGGUGUGGUAAAGGCGCACCAAGGCGACGAUCCUUAGCUGGUCUGAGAGGAUGAUCAGCCACACUGGGACUGAGACACGGCCCAAACUCCUACGGGAGGCAGC